rnacentral:rRNA from 1 species
UACGUAGGGGGCAAGCGUUGUCCGGAAUCAUUGGGCGUAAAGCGCGUGUAGGCGGCUUGUCGCGUCGACUGUGAAAACCCACGGCUUAACUGUGGGCUUGCAGUCGAUACGGGCAGGCUAGAGUUCGGUAGGGGAGACUGGAAUUCCUGGUGUAGCGGUGGAAUGCGCAGAUAUCAGGAGGAACACCGGUGGCGAAGGCGGGUCUCUGGGCAGUAACUGACGCUGAGGCACGAAAGUGUGGGGAUCAAACAGG